rnacentral:lncRNA from 1 species
GAAACAGGGGAGAAACAGGGGAGAAAGAAGAAAAAGAAGAAAAAAGGGAAAAUAGGGUUUUUGAAGCUUGAAAUUUAAAUUGGUAAGUCAAAUUAGCCCUUUUCUCUUAAUUCUAAUGUUCUAAAAGCUUUAAAACAAAGUUUUGAUGGAAUUAAGUUGAUAUUUUGUAAGUUCAUAGGUUUUCAAGUAUAGUUUAUGUUGACAAAAGAGAUGAAUUAUGGAUUAACUUAAAGGAAUUUUAAGUUAGAAUUGAAAAAGGGAUUAAAUUGUAAAAGAAACUAUAAGUUUUAUGUUUUAGGGACUAAAUUGAGGGAAAUUCGAAAUUAGCAAAAUAUGCUGAAAUUUUGAUAGUUAAAUUUUAGUUUGGAUGAAAUUUGAAUAGAAAUAGAGUGUGAAUUGAAUUAGGAAAGUAAGUGAAUUUAGUUAGGAUUAAAUUGAGAAUUAGGAAGAAAUUGAAUAGAAAUUCAAUUAUUUAUUAUAAUUAUAAUUAGUGCUGUAAUUAAUAUUACAAAUUAUUAUUAUUUUCGUAGCUAACAAAGAACCCGAGGCAUCGGCGUCAAAAGGAAAGGAGAAAGUUAUCGAGGACUAAAACGGGAGAAUAACGGUUUGUAUUACUAUAAUUCAAAUUAUUUAUUUUUAAAUGUUAAAUUUUAAUUUAUGUGUCUAGUAAAUGAAAUGUGAGGUAAGUAUUAAUAUUAGUAUUAGUAUUAUUAUUAGUAUUAUUAUUAUUAUGAGUGGGAAUUAAAUUGAAUAGUUGAUAUGAAAUAAUAUUUGAAUUGUUUGUUGAUUGAAAGCGGGAAAUGAAUUUGAAUCGAAUUGUGAAUGGUAUUAAAUUGUAUGGAAAUGUAUUGAGUUGUGAAAAUGUGUGAAGUUGUGAAAUAAUUAUUGAUUGAAAGGUGGAAAAAUGAUUGAAUUGAAAAUGUGAAAAAUUGUAAUUGAAUUGAGAAUAUAUGUGAUUUAAAUACCCUAUUAACUAGUCGGGCUGAGUCGGAUAUAGUUGGCAUGCCAUAGGAUUGGAAGAGUUCAGGGAUACUUCGACCUCGAGUCGAUGAGACACUGGGUGUCACUAUAUUUCUUCGGAUAGAUUCGAUGAGGUACUGGGUACCAACUUUCUUCGGCUUUGCCGAUGAGACACUGGGUGUCAACUAUUGCUUCGAACUAUCCGAUGAGGCACUGGGUGCCAUUUUGGUGUGUUUGGUUGGAUCCGUGUAUCCGCCAAAGUCCGAGUUUUGUUAAUAGGGUAAAUGAUGAAAUGAUAAACCGAACGAGUUGGUCAAACGAGCUAUUGAAAUGAUAUGAAAAAGUUGAAUUGUGAAUUGAAAUGUGAAAUGAGAUUGAGAAAUGAACCUAAGGUUCGUGAAUUAUUCAAACUCAAAUUGUGGAUAUACGAUAUUGGUUGAUGAAUUGCUAUUGUUGAAAUAUUUAAUUUAAAUUGUAUAUACGAUUUAUGCAUUACAUGUACAUUAUUGUUAUAAUUUGAAUUAUGGUAAUACUACUGAGUAUGAAUUACUCAGCGUACGGUUGUUUCCGUACGCAGGUCAAUAGAAGUCAAAGGUCCCGGUUCAGCAUCCAGAUUAAUCCCGGCUUCGGAAAAACUUGGUGAUGUAUUUUUCCUUUGGUAAAGGUGGCAUGUACAUAGAUUGUGUAUAAAGGUUAUUAUGUUUUAUUAUAUAAUGGUUAAAAAUGUUAGUAUUAAAAGUUUAUGGAUUAUAAUGAAAGAAGUCUAUCUAUUUU